rnacentral:rRNA from 1 species
AAUUCCUACGGGAGGCAGCAGUGGGGAAUAUUGCACAAUGGGCGCAAGCCUGAUGCAGCGACGCCGCGUGAGGGAUGACGGCCUUCGGGUUGUAAACCUCUUUCAGUAGGGAAGAAGCGAAAGUGACGGUACCUGCAGAAGAAGCACCGGCUAACUACGUGCCAGCAGCCGCGGUAAUACGUAGGGUGCGAGCGUUAUCCGGAAUUAUUGGGCGUAAAGAGCUCGUAGGCGGUUUGUCGCGUCUGUCGUGAAAGUCCGGGGCUUAACCCCGGAUCUGCGGUGGGUACGGGCAGACUAGAGUGCAGUAGGGGAGACUGGAAUUCCUGGUGUAGCGGUGGAAUGCGCAGAUAUCAGGAGGAACACCGAUGGCGAAGGCAGGUCUCUGGGCUGUAACUGACGCUGAGGAGCGAAAGCAUGGGGAGCGAACAGGAUUAGAUACCCUGGUAGUCCAUGCCGUAAACGUUGGGCACUAGGUGUGGGGACCAUUCCACGGUUUCCGCGCCGCAGCUAACGCAUUAAGUGCCCCGCCUGGGGAGUACGGCCGCAAGGCUAAAACUCAAAGGAAUUGACGGGGGCCCGCACAAGCGGCGGAGCAUGCGGAUUAAUUCGAUGCAACGCGAAGAACCUUACCAAGGCUUGACAUGUUCUCGAUCGCCGUAGAGAUACGGUUUCCCCUUUGGGGCGGGUUCACAGGUGGUGCAUGGUUGUCGUCAGCUCGUGUCGUGAGAUGUUGGGUUAAGUCCCGCAACGAGCGCAACCCUCGUUCCAUGUUGCCAGCACGUCGUGGUGGGGACUCAUGGGAGACUGCCGGGGUCAACUCGGAGGAAGGUGAGGACGACGUCAAAUCAUCAUGCCCCUUAUGUCUUGGGCUUCACGCAUGCUACAAUGGCCGGUACAAUGGGUUGCGAUACUGUGAGGUGGAGCUAAUCCCAAAAAGCCGGUCUCAGUUCGGAUUGGGGUCUGCAACUCGACCCCAUGAAGUCGGAGUCGCUAGUAAUCGCAGAUCAGCAACGCUGCGGUGAAUACGUUCCCGGGCCUUGUACACACCGCC